GUACACUCCUACGGGAGGCAGCAGUGGGGAAUUUUGGACAAUGGGCGAAAGCCUGAUCCAGCAAUGCCGCGUGAGUGAAGAAGGCCUUCGGGUUGUAAAGCUCUUUUGUCAGGGAAGAAACGGUGAGAGCUAAUAUCUCUUGCUAAUGACGGUACCUGAAGAAUAAGCACCGGCUAACUACGUGCCAGCAGCCGCGGUAAUACGUAGGGUGCAAGCGUUAAUCGGAAUUACUGGGCGUAAAGCGUGCGCAGGCGGUUUUGUAAGUCUGAUGUGAAAUCCCCGGGCUCAACCUGGGAAUUGCAUUGGAGACUGCAAGGCUAGAAUCUGGCAGAGGGGGGUAGAAUUCCACGUGUAGCAGUGAAAUGCGUAGAUAUGUGGAGGAACACCGAUGGCGAAGGCAGCCCCCUGGGUCAAGAUUGACGCUCAUGCACGAAAGCGUGGGGAGCAAACAGGAUUAGAAACCCCAGUAGUCCC
rnacentral:rRNA from 1 species